GAUAAUAGCCAACGUAAAACAUUGGCCGUCAAUCAUCGAAGCAUUGCCACUGCCCAAACGGCUCCGCUUAGAGAAGCGUCAUCAGCAACGAGCGCGUACACAAAUAAUUGAGCCACGACUCAUCGCCGCAUCCGCCUCAGAACGUGCCUGCUCAGAUGUGGUUGCAACGGAUACAUUGGAGAAAAACCAUAGAUCUGACGCCCCACAAAGAUCACAAUUAGCAAUCAGAUAGGGGAUUCAUGCCAGCUGGUAAGACUCAAGCCACGACUUUUUGGGCGUCGUGAUAGUUUAUAAGCCGACCCUCGGACAGGCGUGGCCACAGGCUAACCCAUGGCCGCAAUGUGCGUUCAAGAUGUCGAUGUUCAAAGCUGUAUGCGGUUCACAUUAACUCACACAUUUGGCUGCGCUCUUCAUCGACACACUAGCCACGUGAUCCACCGGUACC
rnacentral:rRNA from 1 species